rnacentral:sRNA from 1 species
AAGUGUUAAUUUUAGAGUUUCACCUGUAGUAUACCAUCUUGUAUUAAUAUCGAUCUAAACCCGUCCAUUCUAGAAUUUUCCAGCUUGUAUUAAAAAUUGAAUCACAUCAUACACAUAAAAAAAACUAAUAUGUUAUGAAUUAUUGUAGUAUAUAAGAUUAUAAAUUUUCAAAAUAAUAUGUAUGAAAUUGAAUAUAAAUAUUCAAAUUAUGACCCAAUACUCAGUAGAAAGUUUUUUUAAAUCUAUUUUUGACCCGUUAUAAUAUUUUUUCAUGUAUUGAACAGUUUCUAUUUGUUUUUAAAAAUUCAAAUUAUGGCAUAUGCGAAAAAACUCUAAUUAUGUUUUUAUAACGAUGAUAUUAUUUUUUCGCAAAAAUAGAAUCAUAUAAAGAUGAGAGGUGAACUAUAAUAAUU